rnacentral:misc_RNA from 1 species
GUGAGUUUAAUUGGAUUAAGACUGUUGCUAAAGCCUUUGAUGACAUUAAGUUAAAAAUAACUAAAGCAACUAUUUUAGGGCAUCCUAACUUUGAUAGAGUUUUUGAAGUUGCUUGUGAUGCUUUAGGUGUUAACAUUGCAAGUGUCUUGAGUCAAAAAGGUCACCCCACAGCAUUCCUUAGUGAAAAACUCAGUGAGGCUAAACAAAAGUAUUUCAGUUAUGACAGGGAGUUUUAUGCUAUAGUUCAGUCUCUUCGUCGUUAGCGAUAUUAUUUAUUGCCACAAGAGUUUGUUUUGUUUUUUGACCAUCAAGCAUUGAGAUAUUUGAAGUCACCAAAGAAAUUGAAUUGUAGACAUACUAGUUGGGUUGAGUUUCUU